rnacentral:rRNA from 1 species
UUCCCCCUUCGGGGGACAGGGUGACAGGUGGUGCAUGGUUGUCGUCAGCUCGUGUCGUGAGAUGUUGGGUUAAGUCCCGCAACGAGCGCAACCCUCGACCUUAGUUGCCAGCAUUCAGUUGGGCACUCUAAGGUGACUGCCGGCUAAAAGUCGGAGGAAGGUGGGGAUGACGUCAAAUCAUCAUGCCCCUUAUGACCUGGGCUACACACGUGCUACAAUGGGCGGUACAAAGGGUCGCGAACCCGCGAGGGGGAGCCAAUCCCAAAAAGCCGCUCUCAGUUCGGAUUGCAGGCUGCAACUCGCCUGCAUGAAGCCGGAAUCGCUAGUAAUCGCGGAUCAGCAUGCCGCGGUGAAUACGUUCCCGGGCCUU